GGCUGCAGUAUUUUGACUGUACAAAGGUAGCAUAAUCAAUAGUCUCUUAAUUGGUGACUUGUAUGAAAGAUUGGAUGAGAUAUAUACUGUCUCUUGUUAAUUUAUAGAAAUUAAUUUUUUAGUAAAAAAGCUAAAAUAAUUUUAAAAGACGAGAAGACCCUAUAGAGUUUAAUAAUUUAUUUAAUUAUUAUUAAUAUAUAAUUUUUAAAAUUAAAAUUAAAUAAAUUAUUUUGUUGGGGUGAUAGAAAAAUUAAAUUAACUUUUUUUAAUUAUUUACAUUAAUUUAUGGUUAAAUGAUCCAUUUAUAAUGAUUAAAAGAAAAAAUUACCUUAGGGAUAACAGCGUAAUUUUUUUUUUUAGUUCAAAUAGGAAGAAAAGUUUGCGACCUCGAUGUUGGAUUAA
rnacentral:rRNA from 1 species